rnacentral:lncRNA from 1 species
UCAUCAAGUCGAAGUACAGAGGAUUGUGGAAGUGAUAUGAAUAAGUUGUGCGUCCAACCCAAAAACCUUAGAGCCGUGGAUGAGACAGCCAAAGAUGUUUGAGAACUCCUUUGUAAAGCCCUUAUUUCCUGUGUGGGAACACAACGCCUUCCAACUCCUUUGUAAAGCCCUUAUUUCCUGUGUGGUACAACUAUAUAACACAACACCUUCCAACUUACAAGAGAAGCCCUUAUUUCCUUUGUGGGACAACUGUAUAACACAACACCUUCCAACUUACAAGAGUGAGAUAUGAGUUCUGCCAAAGGUAGGAUUCUUUUGAGACCAUGUUAAAGAAAUUUCAGCGUUCAACCUAAAACUUUUAAGGUCAUUGGUGGAUUUCCCAAUAUCAAAGCACUG